UACGUAGGGUGCGAGCGUUAAUCGGAAUUACUGGGCGUAAAGCGCGCGUAGGCGGCUUUGCAAGCCGGAUGUGAAAUCCCCGGGCUUAACCUGGGAACUGCAUUCGAGACUGCAUUGCUAGAGUAUGGGAGAGGGAAGUGGAAUUUCAGGUGUAGCGGUGAAAUGCGUAGAUAUCUGAAGGAACAUCAGUGGCGAAAGCGACUUCCUGGACCAAUACUGACGCUCAUGUGCGAAAGCGUGGGGAGCAAACAGG
rnacentral:rRNA from 1 species